rnacentral:rRNA from 1 species
GAUGAACGCUGGCGGCGUGCCUAAUACAUGCAAGUCGAGCGAACAGACGAGGAGCUUGCUCCUCUGACGUUAGCGGCGGACGGGUGAGUAACACGUGGAUAACCUACCUAUAAGACUGGGAUAACUUCGGGAAACCGGAGCUAAUACCGGAUAAUAUAUUGAACCGCAUGGUUCAAUAGUGAAAGACGGUUUUGCUGUCACUUAUAGAUGGAUCCGCGCUGCAUUAGCUAGUUGGUAAGGUAACGGCUUACCAAGGCAACGAUGCGUAGCCGACCUGAGAGGUGGAUCGGCAACACGGAAACUGAGACACGCACCAGACCCCAACGGGAGGCACAAGUAGGGAAACUCCAGAAAGGGGCGAAAGCCUGACGGAGCAACGCCGCGGGAGUGAGGAAGUUCUCCGAAUCGUAAAACCCUGUUAUUAGGGAAAAACAAAUGUGUAAGUAACGAUGAAAGUCUGAACGUAACCAAACAAAAAAGCCACGGUAAACUACGG